CACUUGCCUGUGGUCCUGAGAAGAGCCUGAUGGAUCCACAAAGCCAGAGUAAUUCUGAGGUGGGUAUCCCAGGGUGGUUGGGGUUUAGCAGGCCUGGCCGGAGGGCAGCCCCCAAGAGCACAGGGGCGCUCUGUUCCUUAAUGAAUGCAAGUCUGUUUUUAGACCUGAAUGACCAGCUUUUUGUCUGGAAAUGGCCAAGCCCCAAGUGGCCUGCCAAGAAAAAGUGGUCUAUGAGCAGACCCGGGGGUGCCAGCUCAAAUAGAUGCCGCUCCAGCAGCGGGCAUGAUGGGACGAAGCCAGCAGCCGGCAGGGCACUCUCUGCAGAGCCGGCUCUGUGAUUUGGCCUAUGCUUUGUAGGAAAUCCUGGAUAUCCCCAGGAGGA
rnacentral:lncRNA from 1 species